rnacentral:rRNA from 1 species
UCACGGGGGCCCGCAAGGGUAACCGGCGAACGGGUGCGUAACACGUGAGCAACCUACCACUGUGUGAGGCAUAGCCGGCCUAACGGCCGGGUAAUUCCGCAUACGACCUUCUGGAGACAUCUCUGGGAGAGGAAACGAGUAAUCGGCACGGUGAGGGGCUCGCGGCCUAUCAUCUANUUGGCGGGGUAAUAGCCCACCAAGGCAAUGACGGGUAGCUGGUCUGAGAGGAUGGCCANCCACAUUGGGACUGAGAAACGGCCCANACUCCUACGGGAGGCAGCAGUGGGGAAUCUUGCGCAAUGGCCUAACGGCUGACGCAGCGACGCCGCGUGAGGGAUGACGCUCUUCGGAGUGUAAACCUCUGUUGCCCGGGACNAAUAGCGGAUUAUUCCGACUUGACGGUACCGGGUGAGGAAGCACCGGCUAACUCCGUGCCAGCAGCCGCGGUAAU